rnacentral:rRNA from 1 species
AUACGAAGGGUGCAAGCGUUACUCGGAAUUACUGGGCGUAAAGCGUGCGUAGGUGGUUCGUUUAAGUCUGUCGUGAAAGCCCCGGGCUCAACCUGGGAAUGACGAUGGAUACUGGCGGGCUAGAGUGCGGUAGAGGAGAGUGGAAUUCCCGGUGUAGCAGUGAAAUGCGUAGAGAUCGGGAGGAACAUCAGUUGCGAAGGCGGCUCUCUGGACCAGCACUGACACUGAGGCACGAAAGCGUGGGGAGC